UACGGAGGGUGCAAGCGUUAAUCGGAAUUACUGGGCGUAAAGCGCGCGUAGGCGGCUUGGUCAGUUGGAUGUGAAAGCCCCGGGCUUAACCUGGGAAUUGCCUUCGAUACUGGGUUUCUUGAGUUCGGAAGAGGUUGGUGGAAUUCGUGGUGUAGCGGUGAAAUGCAUAGAGAUCACGAAGAACACCAGUGGCGAAGGCGACUUUCUGGUCUGUAACUGACGCUGAGGCGCGAAAGCGUGGGGAGCAAACAGG
rnacentral:misc_RNA from 1 species